UGGGGAAUUUUGGACAAUGGGCGCAAGCCUGAUCCAGCCAUGCCGCGUGCGGGAAGAAGGCCUUCGGGUUGUAAACCGCUUUUGUCAGGGAAGAAAUCUUCUGAGUUAAUACCUCGGGAGGAUGACGGUACCUGAAGAAUAAGCACCGGCUAACUACGUGCCAGCAGCCGCGGUAAUACGUAGGGUGCAAGCGUUAAUCGGAAUUACUGGGCGUAAAGCGUGCGCAGGCGGUUUUGUAAGACAGAGGUGAAAUCCCCGGGCUCAACCUGGGAACUGCCUUUGUGACUGCAAGGCUUGAGUGCGGCAGAGGGGGAUGGAAUUCCGCGUGUAGCAGUGAAAUGCGUAGAUAUGCGGAGGAACACCGAUGGCGAAGGCAAUCCCCUGGGCCUGCACUGACGCUCAUGCACGAAAGCGUGGGGAGCAAACAGGAUUAGAUAGCCCUGGUAGUCCACGCCCUAAAACGAUGUCAACUGGUUGUUGGGAAGGUUCCUUCUCAGUAACGUAGCUAACGCGUGAAGUUGACCGCCUGGGGAGUACGGCCGCAAGGUUGAAACUCAAAUGAAUUGACGGGGU
rnacentral:rRNA from 1 species